rnacentral:rRNA from 1 species
GAAACCCAGUGUGACUCGUCACACUAUCAUUAACUGAAUCCAUAGGUUAAUGAGGCGAACCGGGGGAACUGAAACAUCUAAGUACCCCGAGGAAAAGAAAUCAACCGAGAUUCCCCCAGUAGCGGCGAGCGAACGGGGAGGAGCCCAGAGCCUGAAUCAGCAUGUGUGUUAGUGGAAGCGUCUGGAAAGGCGCGCGAUACAGGGUGACAGCCCCGUACACAAAAGCGCAUGUGCUGUGAGCUCGAUGAGUAGGGCGGGACACGUGGUAUCCUGUCUGAAUAUGGGGGGACCAUCCUCCAAGGCUAAAUACUCCUGACUGACCGAUAGUGAACCAGUACCGUGAGGGAAAGGCGAAAAGAACCCCGGCGAGGGGAGUGAAAAAGAACCUGAAACCGUGUACGUACAAGCAGUGGGAGCACAGGUUUACCUGUGUGACUGCGUACCUUUUGUAUAAUGGGUCAGCGACUUAUAUUCUGUAGCAAGGUUAACCGAAUAGGGGAGCCGGAGGGAAACCGAGUCUUAAUUGGGCGUUAAGUUGCAGGGUAUAGACCCGAAACCCGGUGAUCUAGCCAUGGGCAGGUUGAAGGUUGGGUAACACUAACUGGAGGACCGAACCGACUAAUGUUGAAAAAUUAGCGGAUGACCUGUGGCUGGGGGUGAAAGGCCAAUCAAACCGGGAGAUAGCUGGUUCUCCCCGAAAGCUAUUUAGGUAGCGCCUCGUGAAUUCAUCUCCGGGGGUAGAGCACUGUUUCGGCUAGGGGGCCAUCCCGGCUUACCAACCCGAUGCAAACUGCGAAUACCGGAGAAUGUUAUCACGGGAGACACACGGCGGGUGCUAACGUCCGUCGUGAAGAGGGAAACAACCCAGACCGCCAGCUAAGGUCCCAAAGUCAUGGUUAAGUGGGAAACGAUGUGGGAAGGCCCAGACAGCCAGGAUGUUGGCUUAGAAGCAGCCAUCAUUUAAAGAAAGCGUAAUAGCUCACUGGUCGAGUCGGCCUGCGCGGAAGAUGUAACGGGGCUAAACCAUGCACCGAAGCUGCGGCAGCGACACUGUGUGUUGUUGGGUAGGGGAGCGUUCUGUAAGCCUGUGAAGGUGUGUCGUGAGGCAUGCUGGAGGUAUCAGAAGUGCGAAUGCUGACAUAAGUAACGAUAAAGCGGGUGAAAAGCCCGCUCGCCGGAAGACCAAGGGUUCCUGUCCAACGUUAAUCGGGGCAGGGUGAGUCGACCCCUAAGGCGAGGCCGAAAGGCGUAGUCGAUGGGAAACGGGUUAAUAUUCCCGUACUUGGUGUUACUGCGAAGGGGGGACGGAGAAGGCUAUGUUGGCCGGGCGACGGUUGUCCCGGUUUAAGCGUGUAGGUGUGUGUUCCAGGUAAAUCCGGUUCACUUUAACACUGAGGCGUGACGACGAGGCACUACGGUGCUGAAGCAACAAAUGCCCUGCUUCCAGGAAAAGCCUCUAAGCAUCAGGUAACAUCAAAUCGUACCCCAAACCGACACAGGUGGUCAGGUAGAGAAUACCAAGGCGCUUGAGAGAACUCGGGUGAAGGAACUAGGCAAAAUGGUGCCGUAACUUCGGGAGAAGGCACGCUGACACGUAGGUGAAGUGAUUUACUCAUGGAGCUGAAGUCAGUCGAAGAUACCAGCUGGCUGCAACUGUUUAUUAAAAACACAGCACUGUGCAAACACGAAAGUGGACGUAUACGGUGUGACGCCUGCCCGGUGCCGGAAGGUUAAUUGAUGGGGUCAGCGCAAGCGAAGCUCCUGAUCGAAGCCCCGGUAAACGGCGGCCGUAACUAUAACGGUCCUAAGGUAGCGAAAUUCCUUGUCGGGUAAGUUCCGACCUGCACGAAUGGCGUAAUGAUGGCCAGGCUGUCUCCACCCGAGACUCAGUGAAAUUGAACUCGCUGUGAAGAUGCAGUGUACCCGCGGCAAGACGGAAAGACCCCGUGAACCUUUACUAUAGCUUGACACUGAACAUUGAGCCUUGAUGUGUAGGAUAGGUGGGAGGCUUUGAAGUGUGGACGCCAGUCUGCAUGGAGCCGACCUUGAAAUACCACCCUUUAAUGUUUGAUGUUCUAACGUGGACCCGUUACCCGGGUUGCGGACAGUGUCUGGUGGGUAGUUUGACUGGGGCGGUCUCCUCCUAAAGAGUAACGGAGGAGCACGAAGGUUGGCUAAUCCUGGUCGGACAUCAGGAGGUUAGUGCAAUGGCAUAAGCCAGCUUGACUGCGAGCGUGACGGCGCGAGCAGGUGCGAAAGCAGGUCAUAGUGAUCCGGUGGUUCUGAAUGGAAGGGCCAUCGCUCAACGGAUAAAAGGUACUCCGGGGAUAACAGGCUGAUACCGCCCAAGAGUUCAUAUCGACGGCGGUGUUUGGCACCUCGAUGUCGGCUCAUCACAUCCUGGGGCUGAAGUAGGUCCCAAGGGUAUGGCUGUUCGCCAUUUAAAGUGGUACGCGAGCUGGGUUUAGAACGUCGUGAGACAGUUCGGUCCCUAUCUGCCGUGGGCGCUGGAGAACUGAGGGGGGCUGCUCCUAGUACGAGAGGACCGGAGUGGACGCAUCACUGGUGUUCGGGUUGUCAUGCCAAUGGCACUGCCCGGUAGCUAAAUGCGGAAGAGAUAAGUGCUGAAAGCAUCUAAGCACGAAACUUGCCCCGAGAUGAGUUCUCCCUGAGACUUAAAGUCUCCUGAAGGAACGUUGAAGACGACGACGUUGAUAGGCCGGGUGUGUAAGCGCAGCGAUGCGUUGAGCUAACCGGUACUAAUGAACCGUGAGGCUUAACCUUACAACGCCGAAG